CCUACGGGAGGCAGCAGUGGGGAAUUUUGGACAAUGGGCGCAAGCCUGAUCCAGCAAUGCCGCGUGAGUGAAGAAGGCCUUCGGGUUGUAAAGCUCUUUUGUGGAACGUUCGGUACCUGAAGAAUAAGCACCGGCUAACUACGUGCCAGCAGCCGCGGUAAUACGUAGGGUGCAAGCGUUAAUCGGAAUUACUGGGCGUAAAGCGUGCGCAGGCGGUUUUGUAAGUCUGUCGUGAAAUCCCCGGGCUCAACCUGGGAAUGGCGAUGGAGACUGCCAGGCUAGAGUGUGGCAGAGGGGGGUAGAAUUCCACGUGUAGCAGUGAAAUGCGUAGAUAUGUGGAGGAACACCGAUGGCGAAGGCAGCCCCCUGGGUCAGCUGACGCUCAUGCACGAAAGCGUGGGGAGCAAACAGGAUUAGAUACCCUUGUAGUC
rnacentral:rRNA from 1 species